rnacentral:ncRNA from 1 species
AAAAAUUUUAAUUUUGGAUUAAAUAUUAAUUUUAUCUAUUUAAAAAUUAAAUAUUUAUUUAAUAAAUAUUAAUUAUAAAUAAAUUUAUGAAUGAAAAAAUUUAAAUAAUUAUUUAAAUUUAAUAAAAAAUUUUAUUUAAGAAAUAAUUUUUUUAUAGAAAUAGAUAUAAUAAAAAUAAAAUUUGUGCCAGCAAUUGCGGUUAAACAAAUUUUAUAAAUUAAUAAUUUUAAUUUUAAUAAAUUUGUAAAUUUAAUUAAUUAUUAUAAUUGAUAUUUUAUGGUGAAAUAUAGAUAUUAAUUUAAAAUUAAAAAAUUAUAAGUGAAAAUUUAAUAUUUAAUUUAUAAACUAGGAUUAGAUACCCUAUUAUUAUUAUUUAAUAAAAUAAAAUAAUUGAUUAUUAUUUGAUAAAUCAGUAAAUUUAAAAAAUAUUGGCAGUAUUAUAUUUUAUUCAGAGGAAUUUGUCCUAUAAAUGAUAAUACACGAUAGGAAAUACUUUAUAUAUAAGUUUAUAUAUUUUCGUUAUAUAAAAAUUUUUAAAAAAUUAUUUUUAUUUUUAUUAAAUUAUAUUGAAUUUCAGAUCAAAAUGUAGCUUUUAUAAAGAAGAGAUGAAUUACAUUAAAUUAUUAAAAUUUAUGAAUUAGAAAAUUUAAUUUUUUUAUGAAAAUGGAUUUGAAUGUAAAUUUAAUUAAUUAAUUAAUUUGAAAUAAAAUUAUAAUAUGUACAUAUUGCCCGUCAUUUUCAUUUAAAAUGAAACAAGUCGUAACAUAGUAAAUUUACUGGAAAGUAAAUUUAGAAUUUA